UACGGGAGGCAGCAGUGGGGAAUAUUGCACAAUGGGCGAAAGCCUGAUGCAGCUAUGCCGCGUGUAUGAAGAAGGCCUUAGGGUUGUAAAGUACUUUCAUCGGGGAGGAAAAAACAAAACUAAUAAUUUUAUUUCUUGACGUUACCCGAAAAAGAAGCACCGGCUAACUCCGUGCCAGCAGCCGCGGUAAUACGGAGGGUGCUAGCGUUAAUCAGAAUUACUGGGCGUAAAGAGCACGUAGGUGGUUUUUUUAAGUCAGAUGUGAAAUCCCUGGGCUUAACCUAGGAACUGCAUUUUGAAACUGAAAUACUAGAGUAUCGUAGAGGGAGGUAGAAUUCUAGGUGUAGCGGUGAAAUGCGUAGACAUCUGGAGGAAUACCUGUGGCGAAAGCGGCCUCCUAAACGAAUACUGACACUGAGGUGCGAAAGCGUGGGGAGCAAACAGGGAUUAGAUACC
rnacentral:rRNA from 1 species